rnacentral:rRNA from 1 species
AUACGUAGGGGGCGAGCGUUGUCCGGAAUGAUUGGGCGUAAAGGGCGCGUAGGCGGCCUGUUAAGUCUGGAGUGAAAGUCCUGUUUUCAAGAUGGGAAUUGCUUUGGAUACUGAUGGGCUUGAGUGCAGGAGAGGUUAUCGGAAUUCCCGGUGUAACGGUGAAAUGCGUAGAGAUCGGGAGGAACACCAGUGGCGAAGGCGGGUAACUGGACUGCAACUGACGCUGAGGCGCGAAAGUGUGGGGAGCAAACAGGAUUAGAUACCCUGGUAGUCCACACUGUAAACGAUGAAUGCUAGGUGUAAGAGGUAUCGACCCCUUUUGUGCCGGAGUUAACACAAUAAGCAUUCCGCCUGGGGAGUACGGCCGCAAGGUUGAAACUCAAAGGAAUUGACGGGG